GAAUUUAGCAGAAGGAGCUGCAGACAUUGGAUUCACACAUUUUAGAAUUUAAAAUAAUCCACCAGAAGCUGCAAGUUGAAACACAGUGAUUCAAAGUGUCAGACUCUUAAUCCUUCAGAAGAAACAGAAAAAGAAAAGAAAAGAAAAGAAAAAGAAAAAAGAAAAGAAAAGGAAAGAAAGGAAAAGAAAAGUAUUUCAUCGCUGACACAGCCAGACCUUAUUAAGUGGUCCCUUUCCAAGAGUGUGCCUUCUGACUUUGCAACAGGCUCCCCGUGUGUGAUUUUGGCCUUCUCGCCAUUACAAGAGCCUUCUGUACAUGUCCCUGUAUUUUUGCUAUCUGAGACUACAACAUCUAAGGAAAUAAGUUAAUUGUUCACUUGUUAAAACUCCAUAUAAGACUAGUCUAAAACAGGACUUAAAUUUGUAGAACAG
rnacentral:lncRNA from 10 species